GCUGUGAGCUGCCAUGUGUUUUGUCUGCAUGUAUGUCAGUGCUCCACAGGCAUGCUUGGUGCCUACGGAGGCCAGAAGAGGACAUCAGGUCCCCUGUGAGUUACAGAUAGCUGCGAGCUGCCACGUGGGUACUUAGAAUUGAACUCAGGUUCCCUGGAAGAACAGCCAAUGCUGUUGACUUGGUGUGCUGUGUUGGAUCUCUGGCUUCGAUCUCCUGGACUCAGGUGAGCCUCCUGUCCCAGCCUGUGGAGCAUCUGGGAUUAUCACUGCUUGCUGCCUGUAUACUCGGCAUGUAACCUGACCUUGGACAGACUUGGGCCAAGAAUAUCCAGGACUCUCAGUUUGAAUAUUACCAUGAUUCUAGAAUGUGUGUGUGUGUGUGUGUGUGUGUGUGUGUGUGUGUGCAGGCACAUGUGUGCACACGCUUCCGGAAACUGAACCCAGGGCCUUGUACAUGCUAGAAAUCCCCCCACCACUGAGUUAUACUCUCAGCCCUUUAAAAUAUCUUUAUUAUACUCAUUCUGUGCAUGCAUGCAUUUGGGGUGUAAGCUUUACAUUUUCAAAAUCUGCUUUUAAUAUGGGUUCUAAACACUUUAACCUCCCUUCUAGCCCACCACCCACCAGAGGUAGUGGGAAAGAAAGAUUAUUAGGAUAAAGAGGAAGUGGACUUGUUUAGAAAUGGUUCUUUGGAGUAAAUCCCAUCUGCAUUGUCAGGAAAUCAGCAGUUCAGUUCACAGGAAUCAGCAGCAGAAGCUCGACCCACUCGCAGACACGAUACAGAUAUAACAGCAGUCCAGUUCCUUAGAGUCGGAAUAGCAAACAUGAAUCAGCGGCAGAAGCAUGAUCCAGCAGAAACAGCCAGGCCUCAGUUGAGUCAGCACAAGUCAGCCGAAGGGACCAGGACCACUAGGGAUGCCAGG
rnacentral:lncRNA from 1 species